rnacentral:rRNA from 1 species
CAAUAGCGUAUAUUAAAGUUGUUGCAGUUAAAAAGCUCGUAGUUGGAUUUCUGAUCGAGACAUCAGGUCGGGUCCGAGAGGAUCAUGUACUUUGAUUUUGUUUUGAUCAUCCUUGGGGAGAGCAUUUCUGGCAUUCAGUUGUCGGGAUUGGGAUCCUCAUCGUUUACUGUGAAAAAAUUAGAGUGUUCAAAGCAGGCCUCGGCCUCUGAAUACAUUAGCAUGGAAUAAUAAGAUAGGACUUUGGUGGUCUAUUUUGUUGGUUUGCACGCCAAAGUAAUGAUUAAUAGGGAUGGUUGGGGGUAUUCGUAUUCAAUUGUCAGAGGUGAAAUUCUUGGAUUUAUGGAAGACGAACUACUGCGAAAGCAUUUACCAAGGAUGUUUUCAUUAA